GUCUAUGGCUAUAACCACCCUGAAUGCACCUGACCUCAGAAGCUAAGCAGGAUUAGGCCUGGUUAGUAAUUGGAUGUGAGAUAGCACAGUAGUACAAAAGACAAGAUU
rnacentral:rRNA from 10 species